rnacentral:rRNA from 1 species
UACGUAGGGGGCAAGCGUUGUCCGGAUUUAUUGGGCGUAAAGAGCGUGUAGGCGGUUUGGUAGGUCCGUUGUGAAAACUCGAGGCUCAACCUCGAGACGCCGAUGGAAACCAUCAGACUAGAGUCCGGAAGAGGAGAGUGGAAUUCCUGGUGUAGCGGUGAAAUGCGCAGAUAGCAGGAGGAACACCUGUGGCGAAAGCGGCGCACUGGACCACAACUGACGCUGAGGCGCGAAAGCUAGGGGAGCAAACAGG